rnacentral:rRNA from 1 species
GAGUUUGAUCAUGGCUCAGAUUGAACGCUGGCGGCAGGCCUAACACAUGCAAGUCGAACGGUAACAGAAAGCAGCUUGCUGCUUUGCUGACGAGUGGCGGACGGGUGAGUAAUGUCUGGGAAACUGCCUGAUGGAGGGGGAUAACUACUGGAAACGGUAGCUAAUACCGCAUAACGUCGCAAGACCAAAGAGGGGGACCUUCGGGCCUCUUGCCAUCGGAUGUGCCCAGAUGGGAUUAGCUAGUAGGUGGGGUAACGGCUCACCUAGGCGACGAUCCCUAGCUGGUCUGAGAGGAUGACCAGCCACACUGGAACUGAGACACGGUCCAGACUCCUACGGGAGGCAGCAGUGGGGAAUAUCGCACAAUGGGCGCAAGCCUGAUGCAGCCAUGCCGCGUGUAUGAAGAAGGCCUUCGGGUUGUAAAGUACUUUCAGCGGGGAGGAAGGGAGUAAAGUUAAUACCUUUGCUCAUUGACGUUACCCGCAGAAGAAGCACCGGCUAACUCCGUGCCAGCAGCCGCGGUAAUACGGAGGGUGCAAGCGUUAAUCGGAAUUACUGGGCGUAAAGCGCACGCAGGCGGUUUGUUAAGUCAGAUGUGAAAUCCCCGGGCUCAACCUGGGAACUGCAUCUGAUACUGGCAAGCUUGAGUCUCGUAGAGGGGGGUAGAAUUCCAGGUGUAGCGGUGAAAUGCGUAGAGAUCUGGAGGAAUACCGGUGGCGAAGGCGGCCCCCUGGACGAAGACUGACGCUCAGGUGCGAAAGCGUGGGGAGCAAACAGGAUUAGAUACCCUGGUAGUCCACGCCGUAAACGAUGUCGACUUGGAGGUUGUGCCCUUGAGGCGUGGCUUCCGGAGCUAACGCGUUAAGUCGACCGCCUGGGGAGUACGGCCGCAAGGUUAAAACUCAAAUGAAUUGACGGGGGCCCGCACAAGCGGUGGAGCAUGUGGUUUAAUUCGAUGCAACGCGAAGAACCUUACCUGGUCUUGACAUCCACGGAAGUUUUCAGAGAUGAGAAUGUGCCUUCGGGAACCGUGAGACAGGUGCUGCAUGGCUGUCGUCAGCUCGUGUUGUGAAAUGUUGGGUUAAGUCCCGCAACGAGCGCAACCCUUAUCCUUUGUUGCCAGCGGUCCGGCCGGGAACUCAAAGGAGACUGCCAGUGAUAAACUGGAGGAAGGUGGGGAUGACGUCAAGUCAUCAUGGCCCUUACGACCAGGGCUACACACGUGCUACAAUGGCGCAUACAAAGAGAAGCGACCUCGCGAGAGCAAGCGGACCUCAUAAAGUGCGUCGUAGUCCGGAUUGGAGUCUGCAACUCGACUCCAUGAAGUCGGAAUCGCUAGUAAUCGUGGAUCAGAAUGCCACGGUGAAUACGUUCCCGGGCCUUGUACACACCGCCCGUCACACCAUGGGAGUGGGUUGCAAAAGAAGUAGGUAGCUUAACCUUCGGGAGGGCGCUUACCACUUUGUGAUUCAUGACUGGGGUGAAGUCGUAACAAGGUAACCGUAGGGGAACCUGCGGUUGGAUCACC